UUUUAUUUUAUCUCUUUUUUUUGGCCUUUCGUAUCUGAGCCGAUCUCCUUGUGUUGGCACUCGGCAGAAACGGAUGGAUUGUCUUGGUAGCUACUGAAAUUUUGUUUGGUUUCCAGUUCGUCCAUUUCUAGAAGGAAAAUUAUUGGUCAAUCUUCAACAAAUUAUUCGACCCGACCUUGCCCUACAGCGCACACACCGGGCAGAGGCUCCAAUGAAAUACCUGCCUGCGCAUGCGUGAUCAGAGAAGCCUAAAUCGAGAGAUUGUCGCCUGCGAUUAAUUAAUUGGUAGACAGUGUUUAUCUGAGAAAAAAAAAAGGUAUGCUAAGGACUAAGAGGAAAGUGCCUUCAUUGGUGGAUCUUUGUGUUAGUUUAGCAGUAGAGAAUGUCAAGUACCUAGGAGAUGUUGGAGAAACUGAUUUACAUCUUCUUGACCGCAUCUUACCUCAUUGUACAGUGGAUCAGCUGAUGCACAUCGAGAAGAGUACUGUUGGACGCGAUCUUAGUUCAGUAACUGAUAAGCUGUGGAAAACAUUUUAUGAGAAACAGUUCGGUGAGAGGAGUACUGAUCUUGUGAUUCAGAGGAUGAGGCAGAAGAAAGUUUCAUUUCGAUGGUUACAAUUAUACGAGGCAAAGCUGAAGGAAAUUGCGGAGGCAGAGAACAAAUUAGGUUCUCGAAUCAGGCAACUAUACAAAAAAGAAGAUGACAGAAAACAAAGUCGACAAGUUCGUCUUUGCUCGAAGGUUCCACCUUCAAGCAAUAAAAGAAGCUUUUGCGGAGGAAGUGGACCUGGCUACAAUCUUUCCAAUGGGAAGAGCAAUUUGAUGAAGAAGGCAAAAAUGGAUUUUCUGAAGAGUCGCGAGGUGCAAAAUAUUGCCGCCAUGAGGAAAAAUGCUCUGCAAAGGAAUAGCAGUUCGUCUUCCAUGAUGAAGCCACCGGGUAGCUUUCCUGGGAAAAGUUCUGCAUCUUCGAAUCCAAUGAAGUCCCUGGAGAGGAGAUUCUAGAAGCACGAUGCAAUCCAACUCUAUUCUAGCAGCAUAUUGAAUGUAUGAUUUCCUUGCAAUAAGGGCCUUUACUCUUUUUUAUUUUGUGGGUAGAAGCAACAAAUUGAGAUUGAAAUGAUGUAUGUGUCAAUAAUAAGUAGAUGAUAUCUUUCUUUUUUUCCCAUUAUUAUUAUCGCCAUUGCUCUAAUCUUCUCCAUGCCAUUUCUCCUUUUUCAGACUAUCUAAACAAAGAGGAGGGAAAUUACAAUCUAUUUGUUUUUCUUUCUUUGUUUUUUCAUUUUGUUUUGGGACUAUAAUACGAAGCUUUAUAACACUCUCCAAUCCUAGGAUCGUCCCGUCUAACAAGGAUUUCCAGACU